GACGAACGCUGGCGGCGUGCUUAACACAUGCAAGUCGAACGAAGAGCGAUGGAAGCUUGCUUCUAUCAAUCUUAGUGGCGCACGGGUGAGUAACGCGUAAUCAACCUGCCCUUCAGAGGGGGACAACAGUUGGAAACGACUGCUAAUACCGCAUACGAUCUAACCUCGGCAUCGAGGAUGGAUGAAAGGUGGCCUCUAUUUAUAAGCUAUCACUGAAGGAGGGGAUUGCGUCUGAUUAGCUAGUUGGAGGGGUAACGGCCCACCAAGGCGAUGAUCAGUAGCCGGUCUGAGAGGAUGAACGGCCACAUUGGGACUGAGACACGGCCCAGACUCCUACGGGAGGCAGCAGUGGGGAAUCUUCCGCAAUGGACGAAAGUCUGACGGAGCAACGCCGCGUGAGUGAUGACGGCCUUCGGGUUGUAAAGCUCUGUUAAUCGGGACGAAAGGCCUUCUUGCGAAUAGUUAGAAGGAUUGACGGUACCGGAAUAGAAAGCCACGGCUAACUACGUG
rnacentral:rRNA from 1 species